AUUGAACGCUGGCGGCAUGCUUUACACAUGCAAGUCGAACGGCAGCGCGGGCUUCGGCCUGGCGGCGAGUGGCGAACGGGUGAGUAAUACAUCGGAACGUGCCCAGUAGUGGGGGAUAGCUCGGCGAAAGCCGGAUUAAUACCGCAUACGACCUGAGGGUGAAAGCGGGGGAUCUUCGGACCUCGCGCUAUUGGAGCGGCCGAUGGCAGAUUAGCUAGUUGGUGGGGUAAAGGCCUACCAAGGCGGCGAUCUGUAGCUGGUCUGAGAGGACGACCAGCCACACGGGGACUGAGACACGGCCCAGACUCCUACGGGAGGCAGCAGUGGGGAAUUUUGGACAAUGGGCGAAAGCCUGAUCCAGCAAUGCCGCGUGUGUGAUGAAGGCCUUCGGGUUGUAAAGCACUUUUGGCGGGAACGAAAAGGACUGUGCCAAUACCACGGUUCGAUGACGGUACCCGCAGAAUAAGCACCGGCUAACUACGUG
rnacentral:rRNA from 1 species